UACGAGUGGUGAACUAUAGCGUGCGUACC
rnacentral:piRNA from 1 species